AGUGAACGCUGGCGGCGUGCUUAACACAUGCAAGUCGAACGAGGACGGAAUAUAGCUUGCUAUAUUUGUCAGCUAAGUGGCGCACGGGUGAGUAAUAUAUAGAUAACCUGCCCUUAAGAAAGGAAUGACAGUUGGAAACGACUGCUAAUGCCCUAUAUGCCUUUAAUACAUAAGUAUGCAAGGGAAACGCUUUAGUGCUGAAGGAUGGGUCUGUAUGGUAUCAGCUUGUUGGUGAGGUAAUGGCUCACCAAGGCUAUGACGCCUAACUGGUUUGAGAGGAUGAUCAGUCACACUGGAACUGAGACACGGUCCAGACUCCUACGGGAGGCAGCAGUGGGGAAUAUUGCACAAUGGACGAAAGUCUGAUGCAGCAACGCCGCGUGGAGGAUGACACAUUUCGGUGCGUAAACUCCUUUUAUAUAGGAAGAUAAUGACGGUACUAUAUGAAUAAGCACCGGCUAACUCCGUGCCAGCCGCCGCCGUAA
rnacentral:rRNA from 1 species